GGGGUAUAGCUCAGUGGUAGAGCACAUGCUUAGCAUGCAUGAGGUCCUGGGUUCAAUCCCCAGUACCUCCA
rnacentral:tRNA from 1 species